AGUGUGAUUGCUGGGUCGUAUGGUAAGAGUAUAUAUAUUUUGUUUUGUAAGAAAUUGCCAAACUGUCUUCUAAAGUGGCUGUACCACUUUGCACUCUCACCAGCAAU
rnacentral:pre_miRNA from 1 species